rnacentral:rRNA from 1 species
GUGGGGAAUCUUCCGCAAUGGACGAAAGUCUGACGGAGCAACGCCGCGUGAGUGAAGAAGGUUUUCGGAUCGUAAAGCUCUUUCGUUAGGGACGAACGUGCUCUUUGUGAAUAAUGAGGAGUAAUGACGGUACCUAAAUAAGAAGCCACGGCUAACUACGUGCCAGCAGCCGCGGUAAUACGUAGGUGGCAAGCGUUGUCCGGAAUUAUUUGGCGUAAAGCGCGCGCAGGCGGGAUAUCAAGUCUGUCUUAAAAGUGCGAGGCUCAACCUCGUGAGGGGACAGAAACUGGUAUUCUUGAGUGUCGGAGAGGAAAGUGGAAUUCCAAGUGUAGCGGUGAAAUGCGUAGAGAUUUGGAAGAACACCAGUGGCGAAGGCGACUUUCUGGACGAUGUCUGACGCUGAGGCGCGAAAGCUAGGGGAGCGAACGGGAUUAGAUACCCUGGUAGUCC